rnacentral:lncRNA from 1 species
GUCACUUCCCUUUGUUUAGUUCAGCACCAUUCUUUUCUCUUAUUCGUUUCGGUAAAAAGAAAUCUCUCACUAUCAAAUGUAUUAUGUAAUCCUUUUUUGCUCAGUAGCAGUAAAUUUCAUAGAGAUGAUGUAAUAUAUAAUGUCGUUAUUGCUGUAGAAGUUGCGGAAGUGUAAUGCUGACUCUACUCGAAUGAUGAUUAUCCCUACGUGCAUAACAUAUUAUAAAGAGAUCUUCCUACAUGCCCCUUUUGUAAGGAUGCAUGCUGACGUGUGCACAUCGUUUCUAGCUUGUUUUGGUGCAUCUUUUAUCCUGCUUUAGCUGGUUAGCCUGAAUCCUCUUUUCUCCUGUUUCAGUUGAUUAGGAACCACUAUUGUUCAGGAAUUUUGAGUGGCGCACAUCCUGGUCUGGCGAGCCGAUGAUCGGACAUCAUUUGUCAAGGUUUGUGCACAUUGAAAACUCUUGCUGCGGAUUGGAAUGAUGUUCAUCGCAAACUGAUGUAGCUUCUUAAUAUGCGUACUAUAUUAGAUUGAUCCUUUCGAAUUAAGUUGAUGUAAAAUUAUUUAUUCAACCAAAGCUCUCUCCGCCUCUUUUCUCUUUUUUCAUUGUAACUUAUAUAUACAUAGGGAGCUGACCUUCAUGCACCACUCAGGCGCCACAUUCUGCCACUAAGAUCACGUCUAGGCACUAACUCACUCCCACUCACACAACUAACUCCAUGCACUAAGUAAUCCCUACGUGCAUGCAUGUCCACUUGCACAACUCCACUCAACGGUCACACACCUGGUCAGCGGCCAUUUAGCUAACAAACAAACAAACUUGCCUAUUCUCCUAGCUAUUCCAGUUGUCAAGCGCCUUGCCGCUUCACACGGCAUGCUGCAUCACACAUCACCGCGGCUUCACGCCGCCAUCGGCAUCUUACCAUGCUCGCCGCAUCGCACGGCAGCUAGGUAUCUCGCCUCUUCCGUGCACUCGAUUUAAGCUUCGACGACCAGAUACUCCUAGACCAUCUAUGUUACAUGCAUAACAAAAGCAAACUAAGUAUGCAGAUACAAAAUAUAAAGAUUAGUGCGAACAAUCUCAACUGAGGAUCAACGUUAGUGUUAACACAUGAUUAUUUAAUUCUCUGUAUUUAUUACUAUUUAUAUUUUUGAGAAUGCGAUCAUCCUGUAUGUUGGCAUUUUGGUACUGUAGUUUAGUUUCUUAUAGUGUAUUAUAAUUGAGAAUUGAUUAACUUUUGUAGGAAGCAAAAAGGACUACUCGCAAGGAACCAUGAAGCCAACGAUCCACGUCAAGUAGAUGUUUUAGUUUUCAUUUUGUACAGCUGAUGUCUCAUACUUGCAUCUUUUGGUUGUCCUUUUGUAAACCUGAUGUAUGGUUUCUCGGUGGUUUUGUUUAGAACAGAUUGAAGUAUAUGUAUGUGCCAAUUAGUUAAUGGAAUAAAAAAUGUUUGGUGCUCCCGAUUUGAGCCUGACGUAUGGUGUUUGGGUGAUUAUGCUUAGAACACAUGAACUAUAUGUAUGUGACAAUCAGUACCAUAUGUUAAUUAAAGUUGUGGUUGGCUAAACAAAAUGUUGACGAACUGUUGUUUGGCAAAAGAAAACCCCAUCUGAUUGCUGGUCGGCAAAACAAACGACGUCUGAUAGUCAGUAGGGAAAGCCUAAUGCU